rnacentral:lncRNA from 1 species
GUAAUGAUUGAUUAGAUGAGAUUUGAAUUAAACCUUCUCAUAAAUAUUAAGUCUAGUAAUUUUCUAUCAUUGUAAAUAUGUGGGUGUGCUAUUGGUGUUGAUUAUUCUUAGUUAAUUACAAUGGUUCAAUUGCAACAGAAAUAUACAACCACUCUAUUAUCAAAGAAUUGCUUCAGGGUAAGGAUGGGGUUGGGCCCAAUAUCUGUCA